UGCAUAUUUACAAUGAUAUUGUCUGUUUUCAAGGCAGUAAAUAUUGUGUUUUCUUUUUCUUUCUUUUUUUUUUCACCUAACUUGGUUUCAGUUAAGGUUGAUUUUGAGGGAGCUGGUUUAACAUCAAAGCUUUCCUCACCUAAAGACAUGCUCUGCCUCUCUACCUCUCUACCAGGGUACAGAGACAUGCUAACUUAAGGACACAGAGAUCUUCAAGGGCAACAGAGAAGCACCACCCACCUGGGACCUGGCUUUGCAACACGUCUCUCAGAGAUGCUGAUGGUUAGGAGCUCCCACAUGCCAGGCGAGGCAGCGGGGAGCGAUCAGGAAGCGCGUGCUUUCUCCUGGACCUGGAGCCGAGAUCCUCUGCAGGAGCAUCAACCCCGAUCGCAGAGAUCCCCAUGGUGGGCUGCAGCCGCUGAGAGCCACAGGCUGCUCGGUUUGGAGAAAGGCUGAAAAGUCGUCAGUUAUUGCUAAACCAAGUUGGUUCCAGACUAUAAAACUGAUAUAUCAUGAAGAGAAGAGCAGUGUCCUUCAGAAGCAGAUCUUGCCCUCUGCCCACAGCCACACAGGGCUGAGCCAGACCGAGUCCAAAGGCAGGCUUGUUGGAUCCAACCCCGCUGGAUCACCGUGUCUCAGCCGCUGAGGUCCCUCCUUCAAGGAAGGGAGAAAGAAGUGGAGCUGAUGCUCCAUUCAUCAUGAUGCUCCAUGGUUUCACCUGUCUCAAAACGGGCAAGCGACACGGCUGCAGCUCCCGCACUCAUCCUCACGGGAGGUCAGGGUCUGAAGGGACUGAAUGGCUGAAGACCACCAAAGGGGGGAUGAGGCGUCUGGGGCCCAUGGCAGGCUUUACGCAUGAGAACUGCUGCCUGCCCCCCUUGCUCGGCCAAGGACUGCGUUUGAAAGAAGAUCCUUGUAGCAAAGGUAGAAGCAUGAGAAAAGACGGAAGAUGGUGAGCUAAUGAACUGCACCGUACUGCAGCUUGCGGCGAGAAGCUUUGGAUGAUGGAGGCAGAGGGGAUCCCAAAGGCCAAAGGGUGCGUGAAAUUUGAACUGAGCUACUCCUUUUUUUCCCUACUUUUGAGCAUAC
rnacentral:lncRNA from 1 species